AUUGAACGCUGGCGGCAGGCCUAACACAUGCAAGUCGAGCGGAUGAAGGGAGCUUGCUCCUGGAUUCAGCGGCGGACGGGUGUGUAAUGCCUAGGAAUCUGCCUGGUAGUGGGGGAUAACGUCCGGAAACGGGCGCUAAUACCGCAUACGUCCUGAGGGAGAAAGUGGGGGAUCUUCGGACCUCACGCUAUCAGAUGAGCCUAGGUCGGAUUAGCUAGUUGGUGGGGUAAAGGCCUACCAAGGCGACGAUACGUAACUGGUCUGAGAGGAGGAUCAGGCACACUAGAACUGAGACACGGUCCAGACUCCUACGGGAGGCAGCAGUGGGGAAUAUUGGACAAAGGGCGGAAGCCUGAUCCAGCCAUGCCGCGUGUGUGAAGAAGGGCUUCGGAUUGUAAAGCACUUUAAGUUGGGAGGAAGGGCAGUAAGUUAAUACCUUGCUGUUUUGACGUUACCAACAGAAUAAGCACCGGCUAACUUCGUG
rnacentral:rRNA from 1 species